rnacentral:rRNA from 1 species
AGAGUUUGAUCAUGGCUCAGAUUGAACGCUGGCGGCAUGCUUUACACAUGCAAGUCGAACGGCAGCACAGGGAGCUUGCUCCCGGGUGGCGAGUGGCGCACGGGUGAGUAAUACAUCGGAACGUGUCCUGUUGUGGGGGAUAACUGCUCGAAAGGGUGGCUAAUACCGCAUGAGACCUGAGGGUGAAAGCGGGGGAUCGCAAGACCUCGCGCAAUUGGAGCGGCCGAUGCCCGAUUAGCUGGUUGGUGAGGUAAAGGCUCACCAAGGCGACGAUCGGUAGCUGGUCUGAGAGGACGACCAGCCACACUGGGACUGAGACGACGGCCCAGACUCCGUACGGGAGCA